rnacentral:rRNA from 1 species
UACGUAGGGGGCAAGCGUUGUCCGGAAUCAUUGGGCGUAAAGCGCGUGUAGGCGGUUCAGUAAGUCUGCUGUGAAAGUCCAGGGCUCAACCCUGGGAUGCCGGUGGAUACUGCUGGACUAGAGUGCGGAAGAGGCGAGUGGAAUUCCCGGUGUAGCGGUGAAAUGCGCAGAUAUCGGGAGGAACACCGGUGGCGAAGGCGGAUCUCUGGGCCAUUACUGACGCUGAGGAGCGAAAGCGUGGGGAGCGAACAGG